GUGUGUAAUAGCCAGAAGGAAUGGAGAACACCAAGAAAACAAGUGUCUCUAAAUCAACGUGAGCAAAGCCCAUAUGAAUUCACAGAGACUGAAAGGACAUGCACAAGAUCCACCUUUCGAUUCAAGUCUUCAAAUUCUACCUUCAGUACAAAGGAAUCCUGUGAUCUUCACCCUAUAUAUGAAGCAGUUUGGAGUGAGCAAUUACUCUCUGAGCAAUGAAAAAAGGACACAUUAACACUCAUAACAAUGUAAACUUCACUAACACUUCAACACGAGGCUUUAUAG
rnacentral:lncRNA from 1 species